GCAGACACAUUCCAGCCAAUCAGCAGCAGACCCUCCCUCCCAGACCCUCCCACCUCCUGGACAGCUCACUAAGAAUGCAGCUUCAAAAUGGAUGCUGUCCAGGAGUUGGGAGGGUCUGGGAGGGAGGGUCUGCUGCUGAUUGGCUGGAAUGUGUCUG